ensembl:lncRNA
CUGGGCGAGGUGCUGGGAAUCUGAGCGAGGUGCUGGGGUGCAGGGGCCAGGGGCGGAGGGGGAGCGGCUGUGCAGAGGCCUGGUCUGUGUCCUCAGUUCCCCACAACACUGGCAACAACCUGGCUGAGAAAGGCAACCAGACAGCAGCCAGCAGGUGCCACCAGGAAGCGGUAAGAUGAAUUCCCAAGUAUGUUCGUGCCGUGAAUAAUCUUGGAAAUAGCUUAAAAGAAAGGCACGAGCUACAGGAAGCUGAGGAGCUGCCGUCUUUGGCUGUUCAAACACUGCCAGACUUUGCCGCUGCGUGGACGGAUCCAGGUAUCCUGCAGAACAGCCUGAGCGAAGUUACCGGAGGGCGAUUAAACACAGAAGGAAACACCCAGAUUGUUACCACAGCCUCGGGCUCUGUACGCUGAUCUCAGUCGCCACGUGGAUGCCUUGAAUGCGAGGAGAGAGGAGCUGACACCAGAGCACAGCCUGGCCUGGAGCACGUGAUGACACUGCUCGAAAAUACAGGUAAUUUAGCUCAAGCUGAAGCAGUUGGAAGACAGGCACUGGAAUGAACAGCUAAUGAUCCCUCUGUCAUGUUCUCGUUGGCAAAGGUGCUGGGGAAAUCCCAGAAAUACAAGGAAUCUGAAGCUUUGUUCCUCGAGGCAAUGAAAGCAAAUCCAGAUUCUGCAGGUUACCGUGGAAACGUGGCUGUGCCUUAUCACGCUGGGGACACCUAGACUUGGCCAAGAAACACUGUGAAAUCUCAUUGCAGCUUGACCCCAGGACAUUAGGAACUAAGGAGAACUACGGUCUGCUAAGAAGAAAGCUAGAACAAAGGCAGAAGAAAGACGUCUGAUCCUUUUUCCUUCAUGUUUUGAGUUUGAGUGUGUGUGUGCAUGAGGCAUAUCGUUAAUAGUAUGUGGUUACAUUUAACCAUUUAAAAGUCUUAGACAAGUUAUUUUAUUGAUUUUUUUCUAUGAAAACAAAGACAUGCAAAAAGAUUAUGGCACUAGCAAUAUACUCUUGAAUGCUUGAUACGAUUUUUCACUGAAAUUGUAUUUUUUCAGACAACUCAAGUGUAAUUCUAAAAUUCCAAAAUUGUCUUUUUUAAUUAAACAGAAAAAGAGAAAAAAUUAUCUUGAGCAACUUUUAGUAGAAUUGAACGUACAUUUGGGAUCUGAGCCUUGUCAGGUAUGGACUAGCACUAUUAAACUUCAAUUAUGACCAAGAAAGGAUAGACUGACUGCUACACUUUGUAUAAAUAUUGAACGUGUCUGUAUGUUAGCAUUUUUAUCUAAUGACAAAGCAAAUGAAGAUUCUUGUUUUUUUAUCUCUUUUUUUUUAAAAAACAAUAUACUGUGAACUUCGUUUGUAAGGAAAUAUUUAUUCGUAUUUUUAUGUUUGGAAUGGGACAAAUAAUCGAAUGAGGAAUGGAAAUUUUAACAUGUAGCACAUCUAUUUGCUUUUCCCCAUAGGAAGAAAUUGACUCUUGCAGUAGUUUUUGAAUGCUCUGACUUGGGCAAUUUCAAUACGUAGGAGGUUAUGUAAUGUAAUAUUUUACAUAAACGAUUACUAUCAAUAGAAAGUUCAAGCCAUGCUUUAGGCAAGGGCAGGCAGCCUCACAGCUUUAUUUUUGUUACAUCCCAGGUGAAGAGGGCAACACAUCUGUGUAAGUUGCUUUUUAGUGUUUUAAACUGAAAAGCCAUUUUCCAUUUUGCUUAAUGAAACUAUAGACAUUAUUCUAUCCAGAAAAUGCAAAAUUUUCUCUCAAAUGGAGCCUCAUUCAGGGAAUUUGUGAUAUUUUUAAGAAUUGAGUUGUUCCUGCUGUUUUUUUAUUUGAUCCAAACUGUGUUUUUGUUUUGUUCUUCUCUGUGCGCUGUUGACCUAAUGAUUUACACAAUCUCUGUAAUUUCUUAUGCAGUAAAAUUAUUACAAACUAGCAAAAAAAAAAAAAAAAA